UAAAAUUAGAAAUCUUUCUUGUAGUUUGGAGACCUAAUAGACCCCGAGGCUUGGUGGGUGGUUCUCUCCUGCUAACUUCUAAAGUUGAAGCUAAGGGGAUCAUUAUUUAUCUGGAGACUAUAAGGCUGUGCUGUCCAGUAUGGUAGUCACCAGCCUCAUGUGGCUGUUGAGAACUUGAAAUGUGGCUAGUCCGGAUCGAGAUGUGCUCUGAAUACAGACAAUAUGGAGGCCUCAGGCUCAGAGGAUGGCAGAGUCUUCAGAUGGAUGGAGGGAGCUGCAGUCACUGAACCACUGCAGGGAGAGAAGUACUCACAGACCAGGAACGCUCAACUUGGACUGUUAUGUGACAGAAAGGAGACAUGCAUACAAGGAGAAUGCCAGGUGAACGUGAAGACCAUCAUUUGCAAGCCAAGAGAGGCCUGGAGCAGAUCCUUCAGAGCCCUCAGAAGGGACCAACCCUGCUGGCACCUUGAUUUUGGACUUCCAGCCUCCAGAACUAAGAACUUGAUGUAUACCUCCUGACCUGUUCAUCUUGUAGCUGCCUCUUGACAGCACAUGUUGGCACCUUUAGAAAGAUCUAGAAAUCCACGUGUUGUACGUAAAUCUGGGGCUGUUGUUACUGCAGAUGUACCUUCCACAACUUGAUUUUCUGUGAUGUCAAUUAUUCAGAGACGGGGUUUCACCGUGUU
rnacentral:lncRNA from 1 species